AUUGUGCUGAUCCAUUCUGAAGACGCGUCCUGCGUCCUACAUAAACUGUUUGCUCGCUCGCUUGUGUGUGUGUGCCGUUCCACCGGCUCAGCUUCACUGUGAUUGUCAGACGUUUUCCUGCCUUCUCUGACCCAGCAGAAUUUUGGGUGUGCAACAGAGGGGUGAUUGGGGGAGUCGUUUCAAGACCCCUAUAAUACCCACAUUUUCAGCAGGAUAUUUGCCAAUAUUGGUGGCCCAAGCAUGCGAAAUGAAACACGCCAAAGAGGUGUGGUAUCCUAUGAGCCCUAAUCAGACACGGGGUGAUCUGGACUAUUGGACUGAGAGCUGGACUGUCAUUAAUGCAUCGAAAUCCACAAUCGAACACAGAAUCUGAAUAUUCA